CAUGAAACUUGUCCCGUUCUUCUUCGCAUUCUUUUUUACCUUCCCCUGACCGGGAGGCAAUUCGUCGUAUAAGAAAGAAUGCGAAGACGAACAAUAAGGCCUCCCACCCGGGAGGCCUUUUUUAU
rfam:Klebsiella pneumoniae IS39, WGS project CBWT01000000 data, contig: c134